AGAGUUUGAUCCUGGCUCAGGACGAACGCUGGCGACGUGCCUAACACAUGCAAGUCGAGCGAGUAGAUUUCCUUCGGGAAUGAAGCUAGCGGCGGACGGGUGAGUAACACGUGGGCAACCUGCCUCAUAGAGGGGAAUAGCCUCCCGAAAGGGAGAUUAAUACCGCAUAAGAUUGUAGCUUCGCAUGAAGUAGCAAUUAAAGGAGCAAUCCGCUAUGAGAUGGGCCCGCGGCGCAUUAGCUAGUUGGUGAGGUAACGGCUCACCAAGGCGACGAUGCGUAGCCGACCUGAGAGGGUGAUCGGCCACAUUGGGACUGAGACACGGCCCAGACUCCUACGGGAGGCAGCAGUGGGGAAUAUUGCACAAUGGGGGAAACCCUGAUGCAGCAACGCCGCGUGAGUGAUGACGGCCUUCGGGUUGUAAAGCUCUGUCUUCAGGGACGAUAAUGACGGUACCUGAGGAGGAAGCCACGGCUAACUACGUGCCAGCAGCCGCGGUAAUACGUAGGUGGCGAGCGUUGUCCGGAUUUACUGGGCGUAAAGGGAGCGUAGGCGGACUUUUAAGUGAGAUGUGAAAUACCCGGGCUCAACUUGGGUGCUGCAUUUCAAACUGGAAGUCUAGAGUGCAGGAGAGGAGAAUGGAAUUCCUAGUGUAGCGGUGAAAUGCGUAGAGAUUAGGAAGAACACCAGUGGCGAAGGCG
rnacentral:rRNA from 1 species